rnacentral:tRNA from 1 species
UGACCUAUGGUGUAAUGGCAGCACUACAGAUUUUGGUUCUGUCGGCAGAGGUUCGAGUCCUCUUAGGUCAA